rnacentral:rRNA from 1 species
CCCUUAGAUGUUCUGGGCCGCACGCGCGCUACACUGUUCGACGCAGCGAGUCUUAACCUUGACCGAAAGGUUUGGGUAAUCUUCAGCAAAGUCGAACGUGAUGGGGAUCGAUCAUUGCAAUUAUUGAUCGUGAACGAGGAAUUCCUAGUAAGUGCAAGUCAUCAGCUUGCGCUGAUUACGUCCCUGCCCUUUGUACACACCGCCCGUCGCUACUACCGAUUGAAUGGUUUAGUGAGAUCUCUGGAUUGACGCUGGCUAGGGGGCGACCCUUGGCCAGGCCGUCGAGAAACUGCUCAAACUUGAUCAUUUAGAGGAAGUAAAAGUCGUAACA